rnacentral:lncRNA from 1 species
ACCCUCAAUGGUCAUGCCACCGCUGACAUCCAUGUUCGCCAUAGAAUCAAUGGUGACUUCGUCACACUCGCCAACCCCACGGUGUGCAAUCCUCACACUCCUGUUGUUGCAGCCAUUGCUGGUAUUCACAUGACCGCCUCAACUGAAGAGUUCAAACCUGUCAUAGUAUCCGGCCUUGACCUCCAUGAUAUCCUCGUGGUCGCCAACUCUGCCGACGCCAUCACCGGCGUCUCCACGACUGCCUCCGAUUUCGACCUCAAGAUUGUCAUCGCUGCCGGUACAGUCGCUGUGCUGCUGGCAAUGUUUCCAUGCUCGUGA